rnacentral:lncRNA from 1 species
UGCCUUUUACUGCAGCCAUGACUUCUCAUGUUCUUUACUUAUGAUCAUAUGGUCAAAGGGGAAUCCUAGCCUCACCGUGUUCCUUUUAUUGAAAGGCGUUGGAAAUUAAGAAUAUGGUCACUAUUUCUUUAGUGUUAUUGUUUUUUCAUGAUCUUCAUCCUUGUUUUCCUAUAAAAAGAAAGGUAAUGCACUGAGGCUAAGAUGAUAUUUUUUACGGAAAGUUUCAUACAUGUUGUUUUAAGGAACAAAUUGAUUGGUUAUUUGGCAAGGCAAUGAGGUGUUCUGUGCAAAAAGAAUUGAUGGUGUAUAAAGUCCCUCUGUGUUCUGAUUUUUCCUGUUCUGGUCCCUUUAAAUAAUUGUUUUGCACAGAAUGCCUUUUACUGAAGCCAUGACUACUCAUGUUCUUUACUUAUGAUCAUAUGGUCAAAAGGGAAUCCUAGCCUCACCGUGUUCCUUUUAUUGAAAUGCGUUGGAAAUUAUGAAUAUGGUCACUAUUUCUUUAGUGUUCUUGUUUUUUCAUGAUCUUCAUCCUUCUUUUCCUAUAAAAAGAAAGGUAAUGCACUGAGGUUAAGAUGAUUUUUUUACGGAAAGUUUCAUACAUAUUGUUUUAAGGGACAAAUUGAUUGGUUAUUUGGCAAGGCAAUGAGGUGUUCUGUGCAAAAAGAAUUGAUGGCAUAUAAAGUCCCUCUGUUUUCUGAUUUUUCCUGUUCUGGUCCCUUUAAAUAAUUGUUUUGCACAGAAUGCCUUUUACUGCAGCCAUGACUUCUCAUGUUCUUUACUUAUGAUCAUAUGGUCAAAGGGGAAUCCUAGCCUCACCGUGUUCCUUUUAUUGAAACGCGUUGGAAAUUAAGAAUAUGGUCACUAUUUCUUUAAUGUUAUUGUUUUUUCAUGAUCUUCAUCCUUGUUUUCCUAUAAAAAGAAAGGUAAUGCACUGAGGCUAAGAUGAUUUUUUUACGGAAAGUUUCAUACAUGUUGUUUUAAGGAACAAAUUGAUUGGUUAUUUGGCAAGGCAAUGAGGUGUUCUGUGCAAAAAGAAUUGAUGGUGUAUAAAGUCCCUCUGUGUUCUGAUUUUUCCUGUUCUGGUCCCUUUAAAUAAUUGUUUUGCACAGAAUGCCUUUUACUGAAGCCAUGACUACUCAUGUUUUUUACUUAUGAUCAUAUGGUCAAAAGGGAAUCCUAGCCUCACCGUGUUCCUUUUAUUGAAAUGCGUUGGAAAUUAUGAAUAUGGUCACUAUUUCUUUAGUGUUCUUGUUUUUUCAUGAUCUUCAUCCUUCUUUUCCUAUAAAAAGAAAGGUAAUGCACUGAGGUUAAGAUGAUUUGUUUUACGGAAAGUUUCAUACAUAUUGUUUUAAGGGACAAAUUGAUUGGUUAUUUGGCAAGGCAAUGAGGUGUUCUGUGCAAAAAGAAUUGAUGGCAUAUAAAGUCCCUCUGUUUUCUGAUUUUUCCUGUUCUGGUCCCUUUAAAUAAUUGUUUUGCACAGAAUGCCUUUUACUGCAGCCAUGACUUCUCUUCUUUACUUAUGAUCAUAUGGUCAAGGGGAUCCUAGCCUCACCGUGUUCCUUUUAUUGAAACGCGUUGGAAAUUAAGAAUAUGGUCACUAUUUCUUUAAUGUUAUUGUUUUUUCAUGAUCUUCAUCCUUGUUUUCCUAUAAAAAGAAAGGUAAUGCACUGAGGCUAAGAUGAUAUUUUUUACGGAAAGUUUCAUACAUGUUGUUUUAAGGAACAAAUUGAUUGGUUAUUUGGCAAGGCAAUGAGGUGUUCUGUGCAAAAAGAAUUGAUGGUGUAUAAAGUCCCUCUGUGUUCUGAUUUUUCCUGUUCUUGUCCCUUUAAAUAAUUGUUUUGCACAGAAUGCCUUUUAUUGCAGCCAUGAUUUCUCAUAUUUUUUACUUAUGAUCAUAUGGUCAAAAGGGAAUCCUAGCCUCACCGUGUUCCUUUUAUUGAAAUGCGUUGGAAAUUAAGAAUAUGGUCACAAUUUCUUUAGUGUUAUUGUUUUUUCAUGAUCUUCAUCCUUGGUUUCCUAUAAAAAGAAAGGUAAUGCACUGAGGCUAUGAUGAUAUUUUUUACGGAAAGUUCAUACAUAUUGUUUUAAGGAACAAAUUGAUUGGUUAUUUGGCAAGGCAAUGAGGUGUUCUGUGCAAAAAGAAUUGAUGGCGUAUUAGUCCCUCUGUUUUCUGAUUUUUCCUGUUCUGGUCCCUUUAGAUAAUUGUUUUGCACAGAAUGCCUUUUACUGCAGCCAUGACUUCUCAUGUUCUUUACUUGUGAUCAUAUGGUCAAAGGGGAAUCCUAGCCUCACCGUGUUCCUUUUAUUGAAAUGCGUUGGAAAUUAAGAAUAUGAUAUGGUCACGAUUUCUUCAGUGUUAUUGUUUUUCUAUGAUCUUCAUCCUUGUAUUCCUAUAAAAAGAAAGGUAAUGCACUGAGGCUUAGAUGAUAUUUUUUAUGGAAAAUUUCAUACAUAUUGUUUUAAGGAACAAAUUGAUUGGUUAUUUGGCAAGGCAAUGAGGUGUUCUGUGCAAAAAGAAUUGAUGGCAUAUAUAGUCCCUCUGUUUUCUGAUUUUUCCUGUUUUGGUCCCUUUAAAUAAUUGUUUUGC